GUUUUAAUAAUUUAAAUAAAAUAUUGGUCUUGUAAAUCAACAAUGAAUAUCAAUUCUUAAAACU
rnacentral:tRNA from 1 species